rnacentral:rRNA from 1 species
UAACGUGAGCGUCCUAAGGUAGCGCGAUAAUUUGCUUUUCAAUUGAAGGAUGGUAUGAAAGGGUUAACGAAGAAGGUGCUGUGUCUAAAAAUUCAAUUUAAACUAACUUUAAGGUGAAGAGGCCUUUAUGUAAAAGAAGGACGACAAGACCCUAUGAAGCUUUAUCUUAAUUGGAGCUCUCAGGCUCUUAUACGAUUUUGAUGGGAGAUCAGUAGAAAUAAGUCUUCUACUAUUACAUUAAUCUUACUAGUAUUUCCUAACUUUAUAUGUGUGGCUAGCUACUCUAGGGAUAACAGCGCAAUUUCUCCCGAAAGAUGGUAUUGGAGGGGAAGAUUGCGACCUCGAUGUUGGCUUUAGAUAUCCUAGAGGCGUAGAAGCUUCU